CCACAGAGGUUUGGGGAGUAUGGGCUGGAAGGAGUGGGCCUGGCUCAUGUGUCCUUCCUCUUCCAG
rnacentral:miRNA from 1 species